rnacentral:rRNA from 1 species
AUUGAACGCUGGCGGCAUGCCUUACACAUGCAAGUCGAACGGUAGAGGGGCAACCCUCGAGAGUGGCGAACGGGUGAGUAAUGCAUCGGGACGUACCCAGUUGUGGGGGAUAGCUCGGCGAAAGCCGGAUUAAUACCGCAUACGCACUGAGGUGGAAAGCGGGGGACUCGCAAGGGCCUCGCGCAGUUGGAGCGGCCGAUGUCAGAUUAGCUAGUUGGUGGGGUAAAGGCCUACCAAGGCGACGAUCUGUAGCUGGUCUGAGAGGAUGACCAGCCACACUGGGACUGAGACACGGCCCAGACUCCUACGGGAGGCAGCAGUGGGGAAUUUUGGACAAUGGGCGCAAGCCUGAUCCAGCCAUGCCGCGUGCAGGAAGAAGGCCUCGGUUGUAAACGUGCUUUGUCUAGGGAAGAAAUGACGGUAACCGGAGAAGAAGACCCGGCGUAACUUCGUGCCAGCAGCCGC